rnacentral:rRNA from 1 species
UGCGUAGGCGGCCAAAUAAGUCAGAGGUGAAAUCCUACAGCUUAACUGUAGAACUGCCUUUGAAACUGUUUGGCUAGAAUAGAGUUGAGGUUAGCGGAAUGUGACAUGUAGCGGUGAAAUGCAUAAAUAUGUCAUAGAACACCAAUUGCGAAGGCAGCUAACUGGGCUUUUAUUGACGCUGAGGCACGAAAGCGUGGGGAGCGAACAGGAUUAGAUACCCUGGUAGUCC